UUGAUUAUUUCACAAAAUGGGUGGAAGCUUAUCCACUGGCCUCAAAAACAGCAGAUGUCGUCACAGCUUGCAUUGUGCAAAUGAUUUAUCGGUUUGGGGCACCAAAAAGGAUACUAACAGACCAAGGGAGGGAAUUUGUUAACCAGAUCAACAAAGAAGUUUGUGAAUUGUUCGGCAUAAAACGCAGCCUGUGUUCGCCAUACCAUCCACAAACCAACGGAUUAGUGGAAAAGAUGAAUGGCACCAUACAGAGGAACCUAGGAAAACUGUGCAAGGACAAACCACAAACAUGGGAGAAAUACCUUGAUGCUGUGCUUUUUAAC